rnacentral:rRNA from 1 species
UACGUAGGGUGCGAGCGUUAAUCGGAAUUACUGGGCGUAAAGCGUGCGCAGGCGGUUCGUUGUGUCAGCUGUGAAAGCCCCGGGCUCAACCUGGGAAUGGCAGUGGAAACUGGCGAGCUGGAGUGUGGCAGAGGGGGGUGGAAUUCCGCGUGUAGCAGUGAAAUGCGUAGAGAUGCGGAGGAACACCGAUGGCGAAGGCAGCCCCCUGGGCUGACACUGACGCUCAGGCACGAAAGCGUGGGGAGCAAACAGG